AGGUCAGCCUGGAAUAGAGUUCUACUGCAAAAAGAAAAUGCUGUUAAUAGUGCUGCCAUUUUAUGCCCUUAAGGACAACUGAGGUCAUUAAGGAUCCUGAAAAUGGCUAUAAUA
rnacentral:snoRNA from 1 species